AGAUGAGGCCAUGAGAAUGGGGAUGGCCUUUGUGAUGCCAACAAGAGAGCCAAAAAUCAGGUUCCCUAAGACUGCAGCCAGCUUACACAGAGCGUUGCAGAACCCAAAGCCUGUUCCUCUGGGGAGAGAAAAAUCAGGUGGAGGAGAAAGGGAAUGACUCAGUCGUGACCACAUCCAGGGAGUUCCAGGCAGAGAUGCUGAGGCCAUUGUAAAGGCACAACAUGAAAAUCAUCAUAGACUCACUGGUGCCGAACCACAAGAAGAAGCAGCUGAUGCCUGAAAGGACCAUAGAGCCACCUGAUAGACAUACAAACACACACACACACACACACACACACACACACACACACACACACACACACACACACAUACACACACACAGAGGAAGCGUGAAGCAAGAGUUAGUGCAAGUGACAUUCAGUUGACUAAUGUUCAACUAAAUCAUAGGACCCAAUAAAAAUUGCCUCUUGUACUCAAUGAUGGAUGUUACACCUAUAGCGUGAAUCAUUUCAACAUCCUACAGUCAACAUGAAAACCAAUUACUCAAGAGCACACGCAAACAUGAACCUCACUCUUACCCUCCAUUCUUACCUAACAUGGACAGACGCCCAAUUUUGUCCAUGAGAAGGGCGGACACAAUGUUGCCGGGCAGAACAGCCAGUGUCCCCAGGAAAUUGAUGAAAUAAACCCAGUAGGCACUGUAGUCAUCAUCAAAUGUCAUCUGGCAUCCAGUCUUGUUGUGUGUGAAUGUACUAUUGACCACCUCUGUGCCAUCUACCAACUUGGAUUCAUCGAUGUCUGGGCAAAGAAUUAAAAAAAAUGGCAAUUUGACAGUAAUAAUACAGAGCCAAUCACAAUAUUCUUAUAGUCUUACAGCUGUUCUGUUUGUCUUGACAGGAUUAUACCUGAUGAAUCUGAGAAUCAGAAAUGACAAAACAUACCACUCUAGCUAUGUUUACAUGUCAAAGUUUAGAAUUUCAAUCCCAAUAUCUCACCUGUGUUGAAGAAGAAAGCCUCAAUGAAAGUACAGUUACGGAAGAAGGAGCCCACUGAUGUCACAUCAUCAAAGUAGCAGUUAUGAAAGGUAGAGUCAAUGAAGGUGACAGACCUAAGCUUCAUAUGGAUGAAUCUGAAGAAGCACAGUUACAUUCUGCUGUUAAUAUUCUGUCACAGUAUAAUAAUUUGCAUUAGUAUCAAUUUAAGCAGUGCAGUAACAUAUAGCCACUUUAGAUUGUAAACCUUACUGUCUGUAUUGUACAAAUGUGUUCACGUUUAAUUGUAAGGAAUAUGUGAUUAACAUUAUGAAUUUGACAAUAAACCCUUCCGAAGACCCUUCGUUUUGCAACCUCGGCCAACUUUCUCCUCUCCUGUACUUAUAUAUAUGAUAUGUUAUGUGCUGGGCUCGUCUAGCUAAAGAUUGACGUAGAUUAACUAGCUGGUUAUCUUAUGUUAAAUUUUAACCAUCUUCAUAAUUUGGUUGUGUUAUCAAAAUAGACGAGCCUAGCACAUAGCAUAUCUACAGUAAGUACAGGAAAGGAGAAAGUUGACUGGGGGUUUGAACGAGGCUUGCUCAACUGUUAUGGGAGCACAGACAAGAAGGGGCGGGUCAAUUAUUUGACUGAUUUGUGAUUUUGCAUCUACUACUCCUGCUGUUAAAUUGACUUGUGCUACCGGUCAUUGAUGAAAAGGCCAUUUUUGUGUAUCUGGUUCUCCAGGGUGAAGUUGAAGGUGAAGUCUUCAAUGCGUUCAUUGUUGUGGAUCUUCACUUUGGAGGCGUAAUCAUCUGCCUGAAGGUGUUUGAUUACAUCAGGGAACCAGACUGACAGGCCAUAAUAUCUGUAACCAGAGGGAUACACUGAUAUUAGGAUAUCAAGAAUCCAUUGAUAAGCAGCACAGAUCAGCAGAUGUGACACAAACAUGGAUAAUUACACUCUUAAAUGUGCAGUCAGACACAGGCAGAGAGACAGACACACAAUAAAAAACACAGGAGACACUUGUGGUUUCUGUUUGAUUUUAAAA